rnacentral:lncRNA from 1 species
AAACAAUUACAGCAAUUCAAAUAUAAGAGAGUAAGUUGAUGGAAAAUACCUGCAAUUGUAUAAAAAUUGAAAUGAACAACUACAGAAGAUAAAGUAAUAAUUUGAUCGUGUAUUGCUAUCAGCCUAAGCCACAAGGCUUACCUCACACAGAAGAUACUAGGUGACCCUUUUUCUCAUUCUAUAACAGAAAACUUAGAUAAUAAACUCUCUCUACACUCUCCCAUUUUAUAUCAACUUACUCAUGCUUCUCCCUUCCCUGUGCCAGCUCAACACCUUUCAUUCCCUUGUGUUUUCUAGUGUACACUCUCCAAAACUUGAGCUUGUUUUCCUCAGAACCCAAUACAUCAGGGCCCGAUGCUGCAUCUACCACAUUCCUAUCAUCAUUCAAUUACUUGAAUCUAAAAAUUAAAUACAUAGAUUUUCCUACCUGGUCUAAGCCUCAAAAUGAGUCAAAUAAGUAAUCUGAGCAACAUGUAAGUUGGGGAUAAAAACUGAGAUUCUAAUUUAUUGGUUACAUCACUAUUUGCAUCACUACCAAAUACCCAUUCCAAAGAAAGAAUAAUAUACCACACAAAGGGAAGUACUGGUGUGUGGUGGAAGAAGGAGCAUAUCAAAUGGAAUUGGAAGCAAUUUUAUUUCUCCUACGUCUUAUGCCUGCAAUGUAGCAAACAUGACUUAUGAACCAGUUUCAGCCACUGAUCAUGCAAGUUACGUUUUUAGCACCUAUUGGGAUAAAUUUAAAAGUAAUAGAGCCACUUGCUAAUAAUUUCACUCUUUAGGUUAUACAUACAAUUUCAUAAAGUAAUAAUUUGAGAUUUCCUUUCAAUCAAUAACUUAAUGUAAUUCUUCACAAAACAGGUUGAGCUUCUUGCCGAUUUUAAUUAUCUAGAGACCAUUGUUGUCAGAGCAUCAAUGCAAGGAUUCUUAAGCUUCGACUUUCAAUUAUCUUUAAAUUUCAAGAGAUAUCGUCAACGUCAUUUAAAUAUUCUAUGUUAUUACAUGGCUAUGUCAUUCUCUCUUAGAUUGAAUUUGUAGCACUAACCAAAGUGGGGGAUAAAGAGGAUCACAAAAGAAACAGAGAGACAGAGAUAGCAGCGGAAAAUAUGAUUAAUGAGAUCACUCAAAAACCAUUAAAACCACGCCUUAUGUCACAAGCUUGUAUCUAAACCAAGCAAUUUUCCCACAAAUUCACAAAAAUAAAGGAUUUCAUAACAAGUAGAUACUACAAAUUUCUUAAUUCAUAACUCAUUUUCAUAAAUGAAUUUUUUUUUCUCUUAAACGAAUCUUAAAAGGAAACGAAGGGGUUCAACAACAUAUUUUUGCAAUCAUGGAUAUCAUUCACUCUAAAGAAAAUUUUCAAAUUACCAAGUUCCAACAUUCAACAACAGUAUAAAAGGAACCAUCAACUUCGAAUUAAAUUAUCUCCUUUCUUUUCUUCAUGAAUUUGUAAAAGAUGAAUACAAUGGUAUAGGAACCGUAGCAGAUGGAUACAUUACCUGGAGUGUACGAGAACGAUAACUGUUUUCGAGAUGGAGAAUGAGAGACAUGAUACAGAGAGAUCGUUGCGAGUGAUGGAGACGGUGACAGUGGAGAAUGACGAGAGGCGAGAGAUAGUGGCAGAUUGUUCGAAGACGUUGAAAGUGGAGAAUGUCGAGCGGUGAGAGACGGUUCUAGUUCGUUAAGACGGUGAGAUGAGAGGGUACUGAUACUGAGAGAGACGGUGGGGUUUCUCGGUGUUUUAUGUCUUUACUGUAUUUUUA